UAGCCACAGAGUAGUUGUGCUUAGGGCCAGAAGUAUGGGGGGUAGGGGGGGAAGAGCCCUAAGCCAAAUACAUUAAACACACACACACACACACACACACACACACACACACACACACACAAUAUCUACCAGACAAUUUGCACCUGACUAGAGACUUUGGGUUUCGAGUGCUAGAUGCUGGGAAACAGGGGAUAUGAAUGUCUAUCAUAUUUCACAACAUAAUUAUUGCAUCCAUUUAUUUAGUAACACCAACACAACUUUAAAAAAAAAAUUUUGGAGUCAGAGUAAUAGCAUUGAGGGCAGGGUGUUUGCCUUGCACCCAGAUGACCUGGGUUUGAUCUCAGGCAUAGUUCCUAAGCGCCACCAGGUGUGGCCCCAAAGCAACAACAACAAAAAAGUUUAAUAGAAUGGUUGCACUCCACUCUUUUGAAAUUAAUAAAUAGGUAUAUGAUCUGCACCAAUAAUGCAGUGAAACACUGU